GUGGCCCCCAUCCUCCGCCCACUUAGCUGCCAUGUGGCAGCUGAGCGGGGGCCUCGAGGUGGCGC
rnacentral:pre_miRNA from 1 species